GUGCCAGCCGCCGCGGUAAUACGUAGGGUGCAAGCGUUGUCCGGAUUUAUUGGGCGUAAAGAGCUCGUAGGCGGUCUGUCGCGUCGGAUGUGAAAACCCAAUGGCUUAACCUUGGGCCUGCAUUCGAUACGGGCAGACUAGAGUGUGGUAGGGGAGACUGGAAUUCCUGGUGUAGCGGUGGAAUGCGCAGAUAUCAGGAGGAACACCGAUGGCGAAGGCAGGUCUCUGGGCCAUAACUGACGCUGAGGAGCGAAAGCGUGGGGAGCGAACAGGAUUAGAAACCCCCGUAGUCC
rnacentral:rRNA from 1 species